UACACCUAGGAUGCAAUUAAAACUCUGGUUGUUUGAAUAUAGUCAGAAGCAGAGAUGGGGCGUGUCCCAAAUCCUUCCCUUGCUUCCUGCAUCCUUGGGGUGUGGUGUGCAGGGGAAAAGCAAGGGUGUGCAUGUCUCUCACAGACAUCUGAAACAGAUCAUGUCCUCCCUCGGGUUGCAGGGCUUCUCAGAUUCCUCCUUUCACCCCGAGAGCUGUAAUUGCCAAAACAGACAGAUUAGCACAAUUUCAGCCUGUGUGACUAUCUCACUAAUGCUCAUUUGCUGACUUUAAUGAUUUCCAGAACCCCUUACUGAUCUUACUGUCAGCUCAGGUUCAGAAAGUUUGUAAGCCAGCAUGGUGUGGGAGGUCAGCGCCUCAGUGAGGCAUUGAUAGGCAAAUGAAUUCAAAGGGAUUCUCCCUGUUCUUGUAAAGCUUCAGUUCUGUAAUCCUCUUGCGUUUAAGGUGUACUGAAGAGCUGGCUCAGGCAAAUAUCAGUUAUUGUAAGUGACACCAGGAGUAGUCGUCCUUUCCCAGAGUUUCACAGCUUCCUCCAAUCUGCCUGAGAAGGAAACUCACAGCUCUGAGCUGUUACAAUAAAACUAUUGGCAGUCGGGAACCCGAAAACGGGGCCUGGUCUUUAUUCAUCACACCACAUAGAGUUUUAACACAUCAGGGUAAUAAUAACAACACAAUGUUGUCACCUGAUAAUCUCCCCUGUGCCCUGGAAGAGUGUCAAGGACAAAGCAUGGCUGGCCCUGAAGACUGUAUGCAUGCUGGGAGGCACAUUCUUUGCAUGGACCUGGAGUUGGGGUGGUGCAACCAGGCUGUGCAGGGGCAAGAUGCACUGCAAAGCAGUUGGGAAGAUGUAAUUCUCUGAUAGAAGCCAUUGCCCAGGUGCCCAUGUCUCAAAUUUGGGGGAGGACAAGUGAAUCUAUUUUAUAAAGGAGAAGGUAAUAUAAUUAAUCACUCUAAUGCUUCUACCUGGACGAAGAUGGAAGUUUAGAAGGUGGACGACAUUGUGAAGUUGGUGACAUCACUCAAGCGUGAUGACAGCUGGCUGGCCAGUAGGUCACCAUUUCCCUUUGUUGCAUUCCACUUCCCACAUGCUGGGAAGGCAAGGCUGAGGAGGACAUGUGAGACGGGCAGGCUUCAGGGUCUGAACCAACACUAGCCUAGCUGUCAUCUGUGGGAAGUGGCUUUCGGUUGACCAGUGGCACUUCCCAGUGUCAGCACGCGUGUUGUGUCAGCAGCUCAGACUCUGCGCUAGGGGGCCCCUGUCCUCAGCCAUCCUCCAUCUUGGGAAAACUCUCUGGUGUAACGAGCAGGGCCUCAGUGGGGAGGUAGGAUGCAGCCUCAGCGAAGCAGAUGGUUGGGUACUUGAACAGCAAUCUAGUACAGGAAGGAGAAGACUCUGAGAAUUGAGGAAUGAAUGGUAAUUGGAUUGGAACCUUAUCUUUAUUCUCGUAACUUUGAUAGAGACCUGGCAGCACCUUGCACUACAAUCUCCCUUAAUAAAGGGCAUUACCAUGCCAUGACCCAACUCACGUGUCCUGCCCCAUACAUAUUGAAAUCUCCCUUUCAACUUUGGAAGAGGGUGUGUUGGAGUAGAUCUUCUUGAAACUUUGUUCUCAUCUUCCAGGGUGAGAGAGGAAGAGGGAGAGGAAGAAAGACAGAGACAGACAGACAGACAGACAGACAGACAGACACAGACAGAGACACAGAGACACAGAGACACAGAGACACAGAGGCAGAGAGAGAAUGAGAGAACAUUACAGGUUGACAAGGUAGCAAAAUAAUUCCAAGGCAGCUGUUCUAGGAUUUCCUGAAAUAGAAGAGUGAAUAUUUGCUAGAUAUAAAGGUGAGGCCUGUAGGUUCCUUGUUUCUCCACCAUUUUUAUUAUGAUCUCUUGCCCCAGAAAAGGAGGAAAACAAACUAAGAAUGAGUGCCUCUCCCCCAGCACAUUCUAACUUGGCGUAUCAGCAUGGUAUCGGGGAGGAGGAAUCGGCAACUGACAUUUACCUAGUGCUAACUCUACUUGUUUAAACCGUUAUAUGUUAUCUAUAUAACUGCACUGAACACUGGGAUACAGAGGCAUACUGUGUCUGUGUUGUUAUCCCCAUUUUAAAAGAGAACGCCAUUGGGCUCUUGUAGUUAGGAAAUGAUGAGGUCAAACUCUAAAACCCAAGGCUUCCUGGCUGCAAAGUCCACUUUCUUUCCAGUUGCCUUGCUGAAGUGCCUGCUCUGAAUGAAGAAGAACUGGGUCCUGCAGUAUGUCCACAGGAAGAAGACUGUGUGUGAGUGCAGCCUCCAUGUUCACUGUGCCUCAUGCCAUCCCUGAUGUCAGGGGGAAAUGAAUGGUCAUUUAAAAAUUCCGGCUGGCUAAAGAGCUGGUGGUUUGAAUGAAUGCAUCUAAUUGCAAAAUGUGAAGGACUGCCCCUGGUAUUAAAAAGAUGGAUGAUUCUGUGAAGGGAAUGUGCUAAGACUUGUUUGUUGAAAAUGGAAUUAUUAAUGACUUGUCAGUAAAUUUAAGAAUGCCUUAAAUCAUUCCACUCUUACUCUUUUCAUACAAGGAAUAAAACAGAUGAAUUUAUAAAGGG
rnacentral:sRNA from 1 species